GACGAACGCUGGCGGCGUGCUUAACACAUGCAAGUCGAACGGAAAGGCCCUGCUUUUGUGGGGUGCUCGAGUGGCGAACGGGUGAGUACACGUGAGUAACCUGCCCUUGACUUUGGGGUAACUUCAGGAAACUGGGGCUAAUACCGGAUAGGAGCUCCUGCUGUAUGGUGGGGGUUGGGAAGGUUCGGCGGUUGGGGAUGGACUCGCGGCUUAUCAGCUUGUUGGUGGGGUAGUGGCUUACCAAGGCUUUGACGGGUAGCCGGCCUGAGAGGGUGACCGGCCACAUUGGGACUGAGAUACGGCCCAGACUCCUACGGGAGGCAGCAGUGGGGAAUAUUGCACAAUGGGCGGAAGCCUGAUGCAGCAACGCCGCGUGCGGGAUGACGGCCUUCGGGUUGUAAACCGCUUUCGCCUGUGACGAAGCGUGAGUGACGGUAAUGGGUAAAGAAGCACCGGCUAACUACGUG
rnacentral:rRNA from 1 species